GCGGCGUGCUUAAUACAUGCAAGUCGACCGAAGCUCCUUUUCUUCGGAUGAGGAGUCUUAGUGGCGAACGGGUGCGUACNGCGUUGGUAACCUGCCCCAAAGAGGGGGAUAACAGUUCGAAAGGACUGCUAAUACCCCAUACGAUCAUCAGGGUCAGAUACUUGAUGAUUAAAGGAGUAAUCCGCUUUGGGAGGGGCCUGCGUCCCAUCAGCUAGUUGGUAGGGUAAUGGCCUACCAAGGCGAUGACGGGUAGGGGACCUGAGAGGGUGGCCCCCCACAAUGGAACUGAAACACGGUCCAUACACCUACGGGUGGCAGCAGUAGGGAAUAUUAGAAAUGGACGAAAGUCUGAUCUAGCAACACCGCGUGUGCGAUGAAGGCCUUCGGGUCGUAAAGCACUUUUUGGAAGGAAUAGGAAGGAAUGUACUUCCAGAAUAAGUCUCGGCUAACUACGUGCCAGCAGCCGCGGUAACACGUAGGAGGCAAACGUUAUCCGGACUUACUGGGCGUAAAGCGCGUGUAGGUGGUACUGUAAGUAGGAUGUGAAAGCUCCUGGCUUAACUGGGAGAGGUCGUUCAAAACUACCAAACUAGAGAAUGGGAGAGGGAAGUGGAAUUCCGGGUGUAGUGGUGAAAUGCGUAGAUAUCCGGAGGAACACCAGUGGCGAAAGCGGCUUCCUGGACCAUUUCUGACGCUUAGACGCGAAAGCUAGGGGAGCGAACGGGAUUAGAGACCCCGGUAGUCCUAGCUGUAAACGAUGUAGACUUGGCGUUGGCGGAGUUAAAUCUGCCAGUGCCGGAGCAAACGCGUUAAGUCUACCGCCUGGGGACUACGACCGCAAGGUUAAAACUCAAAGGAAUUGACGG
rnacentral:rRNA from 1 species